rnacentral:rRNA from 1 species
GGGAUGGACCUGCGAUGCAUUAGCUAGUUGGUAAGGUAACGGGCUUACCAAGGCGAUGAUGCAUAGCCCGAGUUGAGAGACUGAUCGGCCACAUUGGGACUGAGACACGGCCCAAACUCCUACGGGAGGCAGCAGUAGGGAAUCUUCCACAAUGGACGCAAGUCUGAUGGAGCAACGCCGCGUGAGUGAAGAAGGGUUUCGGCUCGUAAAGCUCUGUUGUUGGUGAAGAAGGACAGGGGGUAGUAACUGACCUUUGUUUGACGGUAAUCAAUUAGAAAGUCACGGCUAACUACGUGCCAGCAGCCGCGGUAAU